UGGGGAAUUUUACGCAAUGGGGGAAACCCUGACGUAGCGACACCGCGUGAGCGAAGAAGCCCUUUGGGGUGUAAAGCUCUGUCAGCUGGAACGAAAACAAUGACGGUACCAGCAGAGGAAGCAUCGGCUAACUACGUGCCAGCAGCCGCGGUAAGACGUAGGAUGCGAGCGUUGUCCGGAUUUAUUGGGCGUAAAGAGUUCGUAGGUGGUUUGUUAAGUUUGGUGUUAAAGAUCGGGGCUCAACCCUGGGACUGCACUGAAUACUGGCAGACUCGAGUGUGGUAGAGGCUAGUGGAAUUCCCAGUGUAGCGGUGAAAUGCGUAGAUAUUGGGAAGAACACCGGUGGCGUAGGCGACUAGCUGGGCCAUAACUGACGCUGAGGAACGAAAGCCAGGGGAGCGAAUG
rnacentral:rRNA from 2 species